UAAAUUUGAGAAAUAAUAGCUACAUUAAAAAUGUGCAGCUGCAAAAGUAAAGGUCCAUUAGUCCAUGGUUUUCCAUUUGACUCACUCUUGUAUAUGGUUAGGUGAUGUCUCAGUGGAUAACAUUAGAGAACUAUAUAGGUUGAUUCUACGAUGAAAUACAAUGUGUCACAUUUUACCGUGAAAAAAAAAAAAUAUUAUAAGAUAAAUAUAGAUAAGUAGAUUGCUAUGAAAGCUGUGAAAAAUAAACAAGCCUGUUAUUAUUUUAUUAAAGGUGUUAUUAAUAAACUAUUAUUAUUAUUAUUAUUAUUAUUAUUAUUAUUAUUAUUAUUAUUAUUAUUAUUAUACUUUUCGGGAAGUAUUAUGAAGGGUCAUGGAGUGAAUUAUGAGGAUAUAUGUAAUCAAAACAGACAUUGUGAAUCUCAGGGUAUAUGAUUAUCCAAGCCAACGCACACGUGCUCUUAGCAGAAUAAUAUUUAUAAAGCAGAUUUACUUUGCAAAACAAAAGCCGUUCGCGUUAAAAAUUUCACACACACACACACACACACACACACACACACACACACACACACACACACACACACACACACACAAUAAACUUCGUACUGUGAAGUAUACGUGUGCAUUAAAACGAGCGUUAUCUGUUGCAUGCAUGAAAGAAACGUCAUUCAAGCAGGCACUUUCUGUGUAGGCCUAGCAAACAUAUUGUUAACCUCAAACCAAUUAUAAAAGCAAGAGUUAGAGAAAUGGACACACGACCCCCCCCCCCCCCCCCCCCCCCCCUUGUUUUUUGUUUGUUGUUGUUGUUGUUGCAUGAUUGGGACUGCUGACGGCAGAUGGUCAUGGGAAUAUGAGGAUGAGAAUGUUUUGUUGUAGGCUAUUUACACCGGUUAUUUUCAACAUUUGGGCUAUUUCACCAGUGGUUGGUCUCUCAGAAUGACCCUGAACAUCAUCUCUGUAACCUUUCCCCUUAAUUAACUGCUCGUGUUAAUUGCAGGUUUAGAAACUAAGAUAAACAAACAAAUCGUCUGGAAUUCAAAUAACAUAACCGUAAAUUUCCUAAGGCUCGGCCCGAGCAUUGAAAUGAAAAUGAGAUCCCGCCGAGAAUUUAAGCUUUCCACUGAUUGGUCGUUCAAUGCUCUCGACCAAUCAGAGACGGAGAUAUUACAACGCAAAUAAAGGAGGCGGUAUGUCAACAAAGCCGUGUGGCUCUGCUGCAGUGAAUGCGGGGGAAGCAGCGCUGUACAGAGCGACUGCAUGUGGUUUGCUUUAUAAUAAAGAAUAAAAACUAUAGACGAUGACAUCGGGUCAGAGAUAGCAAACAAAAAGAAAACAAAUGGAUGACUGGUGAGAUUUUGGCAGAGCUGGAUUGUGAAAGUGAGACUACUGGACUACGGUUCAUCUGAGGAAGACUAAUUACUUUAGUAUAAGGAUCUCGAAGGGAUUGGGACGUGUAUACUUAUUUAUAUGAUUGAGCCUUGUAGUAGGACUGAUUUUAACUCAGAUAAGGAUCCAUUCCCUUCUGUGCAGACUAAGAAAUGCCAGCAUACCUCUCCUACACGGGUCAUCACCUCUACGUUAAGUGCCACUAGUUCUUCCGCCAGCACAACUCCAACUCAGGUUAUAGGAGAGGAUGAAGAACCCAUGUUUUUUCCACAUCACAAAGAUGAAGAACCCAGUCUUUUGGAUUUCCAACCGCUUCUGGGGCCACAGCUCAUCCCAGCACCGCUAUUCUCACCACUCCAGUUGUUCCAACUGCAACCGCAAAGACGUUCAAAUAGGUUCCUCUGUCUGUCAAUUAGUCUACGCUUUUCUGUUGUAAUAUACAUAGGCUUGAUUACUGCUCUUCAAAACAAUUCCCUGACACUAAUUCCCCUCUUUGGUGAGGAUUAAAAACAGAUUUUUUUUUUUUUUUUUUUGCGCUAUCUUCUGGACCCUGCAUAGAGGAUGCAGAAAAUAUAAUGGGCGAAAAAAGAACCUCAGUAUGACAGACUGUUCAAAAUCAAAUCGCUCUACGCACAUAUGCAAACGCAAUGCUGCUUGUUUCUCCACCCCAGCAGGGAAGUGGCAAGUGCAUAGUGGCAGCUAAAGCAAGAAAUGGAUCAAAGUGUAUAUGAAAGCAACAUCUGCUGAAUUGGGCAACAAUUUAAUUGUUCUAUCAGAUUCAGCUGGACGGGUGGGGUUUUGGGGGCGUGGUGGUUUAAUGGUUAGAACAGUUGCCUUGCACCUCUGGGGACUGGGGCUGCGGAAUGCCUCCUCUGCCCUGCGUGGGCGGAGUUGGCAAACAGGUGGCAAGCAUUGUGCUUGAUGCCAAAGGGCAAUCACUUUGAGCUCUUUCACAUACUUAGACAUAAAAAAAAAAGCUGGUGGCAUAAGCAGGUAGUGUUGACACCAAACAACUCCAGGGUCCUAGUUUCGGUUCUGAGGUUGUGUUAUUUCCUGUUAGGAGUUUUGCAUGUUCUCACUGUUUCCACUUGGUUCCUUUGUUUCCUCUCACCUGUAUAAAAAAACAACAACACAUGCCAGUAGGUGUACUGGCCACCCUAAAUUCCCAUAGAUGUGAAUGUGUUCUGUAACGGACUGGCGUCCCAAACACGGUAUGUAUAGUGUUCUCAAGAUGUGUCCCUGCGACCCUCACAAAGCACUUACUGAAGAUGAAUGGAUCUUAAACAUGACAUGAUAAACAACAACAACAAAAAAGCUUUCUGCCUCUUACUAGAGCUACCAAUUAGUCUGUACUGAUGGAUUAAACACUUGUGUAAAAGUGUGUUUAAAUUAACACUGACAGGGUGCCUGUGUUAAAUCUUGAAACGUUCCAGUUUUUCAGCAUGAAAGAGGUGUUUCAUGUUUGUUCAUGUUUCAAAAUUGAUUCAGAUCUGAAACCAAAGGGAAAAAUUACUGUUGGUCUACAACCAAGAACAUGAGGGGGGCUUGGGUGCUAUGCAAUUUUACCUCCAUUUAAUGCCAAUUUAAUGCUGGAAUUGUCAAUUCAAUCCAGUUUUAUUUAUAUAGCACGUUUAACGAUGGACAUUGUCACAAAGCAGCUUCACAGAAAUAAAUACAUUCAAGAUAUAAAAUUUAAAUGUAUGAAAUUAUACCUAAUGAGCAAGGUAGAGAUGACGUUGGAAAGGAAAAACUCGGUGAGAUGAUAUGAGGAAGAAACCUCGAGAGGAACAAGACUCAAAAGGGAACCCAUCCUUUAUAACCCCCUUCUAGAGCUGUGUACUAUAUGGUCAAAUAAUGCAAUUGUGUAAACAGGAAAUUCGUUAUAGUUUUCACACAAAGUCUGUUUUGUUGAACUUCUCCACUGUUCACUGAUGGAGACUUGAGUGCAAAACUGUUCAUAUGAAUUGUGGUCCAAAGCCAUCUUCGUGGUUUUUAAGUGGUACCAUCCUCAGUAAUCUCCAUGACCUUCAGUGAAGUUAUCUAUAUUUAUCUAAGGCUCAAACAGAGAUUUAAAUUGUUGUUGGAAAUAUUCCAAAAGGAAUACUAAUAUUAAUCAUUUUAUAGCAAUUGGAAAAUACUGAAAAAGUUUUGCUAAAGCUAACAAAACUUACUAUACACUCCAACAGAUACUUGUAAAUUUCCAUGUCACCAAGGCGGUACCCUCAAAGGCACAUCUUUUAUGCCUGCAAUAUGUAUCUUUCAUCUCAAAAGAUGGAGAUAGUGUACCUAUAGUGUACCUUUAAAAAUGAUUUAAGGUCCAUACGUACCCUUUCUUUCUGAUGCAUGAUCAGUUCCACACUCUCACCACUCUCGGGUUUAAUCGAUUAAUUCGGUUCGCUUCAACAGGCUGUAUUGGCAUGAUCAUAUACAUGUACGGUAUUGCCAACGCAUUACGGGAAUGUCGAACUGUUAAUAAUAAACAUUAGUUUAUUGAUUUUAUAAAGCACAUUUAAAACAACGGAUGUUGAAACCGAAGUGCUGUACGAGAAAUAUAAAACCGAAUUAAAAGAGUAAACAAAAACCAAAGAAAAGACCAAUGAAAAAUUGACAUCCUCGAUUAAAACAUAAAGAAUACGAGUGAGUUUUCAAACGGGAUUUAAACACGGAAACGGAAGGGGAAGAUCUAAUGUGGAGAGGAAGACUAUUCCAAAGCCUAGGAGCAGCCACCGAGAAAGCCCGGUCACUUUUAGCCUUAAAACAUGAACGAGGAACUGAGAGUGGUAGUAGUGUGUUAGUAGCAUUAGUGUUGUUUUCGUAGAAGAUUGUUAUCAGAAUCUGAAUAAACAUAUUGUAUUAGUGUCCAUUUGUUGUAGUGGGUGGGUUACUCACUGUCCCUCAGGUUGUGGCAGGCACACAGGCUAAAAUGCACCUCUCCUUUAUUUCUCCUAACGGUACGGGCAGUUUGUCAGUGUUUGGCGGAAGGAUGAACUGGGGAUGUGUGAUGUGAUGUUUUUUUAAAAUAUAAUUCACGCAAGUGUUUGAAGUUGUUACACUCGGUUAGAAAGUGCAGCUCUGUCUCCACUGUGUUGCUGUUGCACUGUGUGCGCACUCUGCUCUUUAGGGAGCCGCGAUUACUUCUAGCGGCCGUCUCGACGGCCAGUGUGUGUGCCGAGUCUGGACUGUGUCAGCGUGGUUCUGCGUCGGUGUGCGGUCACUGUGCUCAGGUAGUCCGCUACAGUGUACUGUGCGUUUCGGGCCAGACAGCACUGCAUUUUACUUUGUGCUUGUGUGUUCGUAGGGGUGGAUGUAGUUUUGUUUCUGUAGUGUUAUAAUUUGGUGAGGUCUGAUGGGUCUGAUUUGUUCUUGUGUCCGGCUGCUCCUGGGGUAGAACCGUGUUAGCGUGUGUUAAUGAGCUGAGGUUCAGGACUAGCCGGGCGAGGAGAAUCGUCUUUGUGAGCGGCCCCCAGACCUCACUACCGUACAGCAGAAUCGGUUCAAUUACUGAUUCAUAUCAUUUUGAGCCAGAUUUGAAUUGGGAUUUGGGAAUGAAUUUGUUGUGUAGAAUUUUACUUGCGCCUGCUCUGUCAGCUCAUUCGCCGCUGGACUGAAAUUUCCAGUGGUAUUAAUUUUCAAUCCGAAGUAUUUGUAUUCUUUGCAAUUUUCUAUUCUGUGCGUCCCUAAAGUGAAGUUAAUCACUACUUGUGGCGAAGUCUCUGUGAAGUGAGCUGCUCUAAUGGCUUUGACGUUAAAUAGUACAAUAUCCUUUCCAAACCAAAAGUAGAAUCUGUUAAAGCCUCUAGGGUUAUACAUUACUCCCACAUAUGAUUGGUAGUGUUUUGGCUUCUAGACUGGUGGACAUGCUGGAUGCUGCUGAAAAAUACUUUGAGGAGUCCUGGGAUUGACACCAGCUCUGUGUGUUGGUGCAAAAAGGGUAUUGGAAAGGCCAAAAGUAAACCUGGAGAAGUAUUAACAUUAGCUUCUGAAGUAAGAAAUUUGGUGAGGAGAUAAGUGAUAUGAUUUGAUUAUAUAAUGCAGAUAUUUUAGUUUUUAAGGUGCAUGUACAGGACUCCUGGACAAGGAGACAUCUGCUUGAGCUUCCAGACAUCUGUAGAAAACCUCCCAUCUGCUGGUAUAUGCACCGGACUGUUCAUGUGGACCGAAUAAAAAUGGAAUCUCUGUCAACUACACACCCACACCUCCUGACUCUUCUCUGCACUCAAGAAAUAAUUUACUGUCUGUUUCGUUUUGCACAGGAACCCACAAGCUGUAGGUAGGUAGGUAUGUUCAUGGAGAUCAGUGCAGGAGUGAUGUAGAGCAAGUACAAUUUGUUUUUCUGAAAUGACAUUUUAUGAAUGACUUUUUUGCUUGAAUUUACAUGAUCUAGUUGUUUUUUUGUUUUGUUUUUUUAAAUCUGGUGUUCAAAUGAAUGAAUCUUAACAGUCCUGCUUAAACAUUUGUCCUUAUUUUGUAAUUUCAUGUCUAUUUAGUGAACUGCCAUGUCAUGCAUAAAGCUGCACCUUGUAUUAGAUAUGAAACAUGCGGUAAUUUUUCAUCAGGACAUACAGUAUCUGUUAAGUCCAGAGAGCCAAAGCUUUACUGCACUUGCAAUAAAGGCCAAUGGCAAGAUUGAAAAAAUUUACCAAUAAAAACGAUUUCUGUAAACCAAAUUUGCUGGCAAUUUACACAUCAGAUUAUUUGGUUCCAGUGCUCCUGAUGUGAUCCUGAGCUACUGUCUGUGCAUAGUUUUGCACAUUCUGCUCAUUUCUGUGUGGGUUUGCUCUGGGUUCUCCAGUUUCCUCCAACCUGCCAACAAACACGACUGCAGGUGGAUCGGCUGUGUGUGUGAAUCUUCGUGCAUGGUGUUGUGCGAUGGACUGGCAUCCCAUCCCACCUUCGACCCACUGUGAUCGGCUCGGGAUCCACCGUGACGCUGCCCAGGAUUAAACGUCUACUGAAGAUGAAGGAACAAAUCAUUUGUGUACACGUAAUGAUUUUGGAUUGUAUUAUAUACAGGUGCAUCUAAAAAAACAAAACAAAAACAGAAUAUUGUGGAAAAGUUCGUUUUGUUCCUUAAUUUAAUUUAAUUAAAAAGUGGAACUUUCA